rnacentral:lncRNA from 1 species
AUGACAGAGAAUAGAAAUAUGAGAUGUGACAAUGGAAAUGAUAAUGAAAGGAUGAAUGUUAAAUACAUUGCAGAGGAGUAAGAACUGGCAAGAAUUGACAAAUGAUGAGUUAAGCGAGGUAUGAAAAAAUGAGAAGUCAGAAGGAGAAUCUUUGGAGGAAAAGCUGAUCUGUGAGACAAUAAAGGAAAAGUGUUAAUGUUUAUGCCAUAUGA